rnacentral:rRNA from 1 species
UGGGGAAUUUUCCGCAAUGGGGGCAACCCUGACGGAGCAACGCCGCGUGCGGGAGGAAGGCCUUUGGGUUGUAAACCGCUUUUCUCAGGGAAGAAGCUCUGACGGUACCUGAGGAAUCAGCCUCGGCUAACUCCGUGCCAGCAGCCGCGGUAAUACGGAGGGAGCUAGCGUUGUUCGGAAUUACUGGGCGUAAAGCGCGCGUAGGCGGCGUAUCAAGUCAGGGGUGAAAUCCCGGGGCUCAACCCCGGAACUGCCCUUGAAACUAGUAUGCUAGAAUCCUGGAGAGGCGAGUGGAAUUCCGAGUGUAGAGGUGAAAUUCGUAGAUAUUCGGAAGAACACCAGUGGCGAAGGCGACUCGCUGGACAGGUAUUGACGCUGAGGUGCGAAAGCGUGGGGAGCAAACAGGAUUAGAUACCCGCGUAGUCC